rnacentral:rRNA from 1 species
UGGCGCACGGGUGCGUAACACGUAUGCAACCUACCUUACAUUGGGGGAUAGCCUUUCGAAAGGGAGAUUAAUACCGCAUAAGACAGUAGCUGGGCAUCCAGCAGCUGUUAAAGAUUUAUCGAUGUAAGAUGGGCAUGCGACCAAUUAGUUAGUUGGCGAGGUAAUGGCUCACCAAGACUAUGGUUGGUAGGGGAACUGAGAGGUCAAUCCCCCACACUGGCACUGAGAUACGGGCCAGACUCCUACGGGAGGCAGCAGUAGGGAAUAUUGGGCAAUGGACGCAAGUCUGACCCAGCCAUGCCGCGUGCAGGAUGAAGGCGUUAUGCGUCGUAAACUGCUUUUAUACAGGAAGAAACGACUCUUGCGAGAGGCAUUGACGGUACUGUAUGAAUAAGCACCGGCUAACUCCGUGCCAGCAGCCGCGGUAAUACGGAGGGUGCAAGCGUUGUCCGGAUUUAUUGGGUUUAAAGGGUGCGCAGGUGGUUUAUUAAGUCAGUGGUGAAAGACGGUCGCUCAACGAUUGCAGUGCCAUUGAAACUAGUAGACUUGAGUAAAGUAGAGGUGGGCGGAAUUGAUAGUGUAGCGGUGAAAUGCAUAGAUAUUAUCAAGAACUCCAAUUGCGUAGGCAGCUCACUUGGCUUUUACUGACACUCAUGCACGAAAGUGUGGGUAUCAAACAGGAUUAGAUACCCUGGUAGUCCACACUGUAAACGAUGAUAACUAGGUGUCGGCCGAAUCUGGUCGGUGCCACAGCGAAAGCGUUAAGUUAUCCACCUGGGGAGUACGCCGGCAACGGUGAAA